rnacentral:tmRNA from 1 species
GCCCUUCCAUUCGGCUCUCGAAGUCCUUAUAUUGAAAGCGUCGGGCAACCGACUAUGACGAUAAACACUAUGUGGAAUAAACGUUGCGGACCCGGGGGCAGUGCCCGGCGCCUCCACCAUCUUCCAGAACACGCCGAGAUGCGGUUUUCGAUGGGGGCGAAACAGGAUCGACGUACGUGGUAAAGACAUAGCUUUCGUUCGGCAUGGUAUCCACCGUUAUCGGGCCAAACACACAAAUGCUAACGAUAAUGAAGCAUUUGCGGUUGCCGCCUAACGGCUAAGCAACCACGGGGUUCGGGGGGCACCUGGCAACAGAAGCCCCCCACU